GCAUAACGCGAAGAACCUUACCCAGGCUUGACAUCCCGAGACCGCCAUGGAAACAUGGUUUCCCCUUCGGGUCGUCGAGACAGGUGUUGUCAUGGCGUGUCGUCAGCUCGUGUCGUGAGAUGUUGGGUUAAGUCCCGCCAACGAGCGCAACCCUUCGUCCCUACGUUACCAGCGGUUCGGCCGGGCACUCUAGGGAGACUGCCGGUGAUAAACCGGAGGAAGGUGGGACGACGUCAAGUCAUCACGGCCCUUAUGCCUGGGGCGACACACGUGCUACAAUGGCCGGUACAAAGAGCUGCAAAGCCGCGAGGCAGAGCUAAUCUCAAAAAGCCGGUCUCAGUUCGGAUUGGAGUCUGCAACCCGACUCCAUGAAGUCGGAAUCGCUAGUAAUCGCGUAUCAGCCACGACGCGGUGAAU
rnacentral:rRNA from 1 species